rnacentral:lncRNA from 1 species
CCAUGGCUCUUGUUCGGUCAGAUCUCCCUCCAGAAGACUCAAAACACUUUGUAAAGGCUGGUGACAUCUAGUGGAAGCAAUAGGAAGUGCCAAAAUAUUCCUAAACCCCUGUGUUUUUCAAUGGGAUAGGUUUAAAGGUAAUACAACACAUCAGGUAUCCACUUCCUGUCAGAAAAUGUCUCAGGGUUUUGCCUGCCAAAUGAGUUCUGUUAUACUCACAGACACCAUUCAAACAGUUUUAGAAAAGUUAGGGUGUUUUCUAUCCAUAUGUAAUAAGUAUAUGCAUAUUCUAGUUACUGGGUAGGAGUGGUAACCAGAUUAAAUCGGGUAUGUUUUUUUAUCCAGCCGUGUCAAUACUGCCCCCUAGCCCUAACAGGUUAAUCUAACCACACUGUCCGAUUUCAAAAAGGAUUUACAACGAAAGCAAAACAUUAGAUUAUGUCAGCAGAGUACCCAGCCAGAAAUAAUCAGACACCCAUUUUUCAAGCUAGCAUAUAAUGUCACAUAAACCCAAACCACAGCUAAAUGCAGCACUAACCUUUGAUGAUCUUCAUCAGAUGACAACCCUAGGACAUUAUGUUAUACAAUACAUGCAUGUUUUGUUCAAUCAAGUUCAUAUUUAUAUCAAAAAACAGCUUUUUACAUUAGCAUGUGACUAGCAUGUGACUAGCAUUCCCACCGAACACUGCCGGUGAAUUUACUAAAUUACUCACGAUAAACGUUCACAAAAAGCAUAACAAUUACUUUAAGAAUUAUAGAUACAGAACUCCUCUAUGCACUCGAUAUGUAGCUUUUCGGUGAAAGCACAUUUUUCAAUAUUCUCAGUAGAUAGACCGGCAUCACAGGGCUAGCUAUUUAGACACCCAGCAAGUUUAGCACUCACCAAAGUCAGAUUUACUAUAAGAAAAAUGUUAUUACCUUUGCUGUCUUCGUCAGAAUGCACUCCCAGGACUUCUACUUCAAUAACAAAUGUUGGUUUGGUUCAAAAUAAUCCAUUGUUAUAUCCAAAUAGUGGCGUUUUGUUCGUGCGUUCAAGACACUAUCCGAAAGGGUAAAUAAGGGUCACGAGCAUGGCGCAAUUCGUGACAAAAAAUUCUAAAUAUUCCAUUACCGUACUUCGAAGCAUGUCAACGGCUGUUUAAAAUCAAUUUUUAUGCAAUUUUUCUCAUAAAAAAAGCGAUAAUAUUCCGACCGGGAAUCUGCGUUUAGGUAAACAGACGAAAGAAAAUAAAGCAUUCGGUCGACUCGUGCGCACGCGCCUAAGCCCAUAGUCCUCUGAUCGGCCACUUGCCAAAAGCGAUAAUGUGUUUCAGCCAGAGGCUGCCUCGAUAUCGUUCAGCUUUUUCCUGGGCUCUGAGAGCCUAUGGGAGCCGUAGGAAGUGUCACGUUAGAGCAAAGAUCCUCAGUCUUCAAUAAAAAGAGCCAAGAUGAAACACAACUUGUCAGACAGGCCACUUCCUGCAUGGAAUCUUCUCAGGUUUUGGCCUGCCAUUUGAGUUCUGUUAUACUCACAGACACCAUUCAAACAGUUUUAGAAACUUUAGGGUGUUUUCUAUCCAAAGCCAAUAAUUAUAUGCAUAUUCUAGUUACUGGGCAGGAGUAGUAACCAGAUUAAAUCGGGUACGUUUUUUAUCCGGCCGUGUCAAUACUGCCCCCUAGCCCUAACAGGUUAACCAAACCCGUAUGUCCAAGAUUGUGUGUCCAACAGGUGACUUACAGGAGAAGGUGAUUCACUCAAUGCAACCAGGAGACUGGGUCUGGGUCCAAUCACUAAAGAAAAUGGACUGGAAGCAACCACGGUGGGAGGGCCCAUACCAAGUACUCCUGUUGACAGCCUUCGCCAUAAGGAUAGCUGAAAGAGCUACCUGGGUUCAUAUCAGAAAUUGCAGGAGGGUAAGACACACUGACACUGUCGAACAAUCACAGAGUUAGGAGAAGAACCGAAUACCAAUAAGGUUCGGGGGUUACCUCUCUAACGAAGAUUCCCUAACCCGCCCGAUCCUCACUGUGUGUGUUCAUAGAAGUGAAAGUAUGGGUUGACCUCUAGCCAAUGAUAUGUUCUCCGGGAAGGGGUGGGGCUUUACAGGGGUACUGGUCAGUCUGAGCUGUCUGAUUGUGGGAGCCAUAUGCCUAAUACACCAUGAACCCCUCAAGAAGCCAGAAGGUGGUAAUUUGACCCAUAAUGUAGAAGAUGAUGAUUUUGUAUUACUAAAGUUCAAAAGGUCACUUAAUCUGGAUAAAAAGAAAGUGAGAGUAGAGUUAGGAAAGGAUGUGUCGGUUGAGUUCUAUGUAGACCAAAUAGGGUCCCUAACCUCAUGGCAAUCUAGGAUUCUGACUUCAUGGGGAAGAUAUCUAUGUAGAUCGCCGUGUAACUCAUGGAAGCAGGUCAUAGCUCACACAGAGAGAGAAGGCUAUGUCAAUCCACACACCCAAUAUAAAAACAGAUGGAGCAUAGUAAAAAUCAAGGUGUUUGACUGUAAUCCGGAACAAGGGAGGUAUUGUUUAAAGGUACGAAUAACCAUUAAAGGCGUAAAGCAAGAGGAUUUUGGGAUAUGGUAUGUGGGAUUUGACCAGACCUUGGGUGACACUAUAGUACCAUUCAGGGUAGUAGAGGUCAAAAUAAGAGAUGGUUCUACGACUAGCCAGGAUACAAGCAAUACCCCUGAUAAAAUGGAUGUCCCACGGGGAGUCAUUCAGAGUCUAGAACCGGUGAGGAUAGUUCAAACUAAAGAUCUUAAUGAAGUUAUAGAGGUAGAACCAGGGUUUGCGGAUACAAAUUUAUGGAUGGAGUGGAUCCAAUAUACAGCAAGGUCUAUGGCUAAGGAAGAUGCCUGUGGAACAGCCAAACCCCCAUUAACGACUACACCAUUCCCACUUGAGGGGACUAAUUCACCUAGAGGGGUAGCGUGUAUGGUAAAGCUUUUCCUGAAAGCAGGAAAGCCUGACAAUGAUAGCUGUACUGAUCUACAUUAUAUGUAUCCCUAUGUGCCUAUUAGAUCUAGGCUUCCCCCCUUUGCAGUGGCUGGAGGAGACUAUUACUGUUUGGUCAGGUACAAUACUCAUGGGAGAGACGUGAGGGAGGUGGCAAGAUGUAACAGGACUGAAAAUGUUACUACUGAUGAGACUAUGAGGGAUCUGACAGGAUGGUUGAGAUCCGAGGACUUCAGUAAAAUUGAGAAGCCAAGAGCUGAUGUCUGGUGGUUGUGUGGAGGGGUGAAAUUGUGGCCGAAUUUACCUGUGAAUUGGACAGGUAUUUGUGCAUUGAUACAUUUAGGCAUGCCUUUCACCCUUAUUCAACACAAAGACCUAGAGCAAGGUAGAAGAGAGAGGAGGAGUGCUCCGUUAGGGUCCUUCGACGAUAGAGUAUACAUUGAUAUUAUUGGGGUUCCAUGAGGGGUGCCAGAUGAAUUUAAAGCAAGAAACCAAAUAUUAGCAGGGUUAGAAUCAAGCAUCUUCUGGUCGUCCACCUUAAAUAAGAAUGUGGAUUGAUAAAUUAUAUCUAUUAUAAUCAACAGCGCUUCAUCAAAUAUACUAGAGAUGCGAUAAAAGGAUUAGCCGUACAGAUGGAAGCAACUAGUUUGAUGGCCUGGCAGAAUAGAAUAGUAUUGGAUAUGUUGCUGGCUGAGAAGGGUAUGUGUGUGAUAUUGGGGUCAAUGUGCUGUACUUUCAUCCCAAAUAACAAAGCUCCAGAUGGUUCAGUGACCAAGGCCCUGGCUGGUUUAACCACAUUGGCAAAUGAGUUAGCAGAGAACGCUGGGGUGGAGUCUUCCCUGACAGGGUGGUUCGAUAGUAUGUUCGGGAAAUGGAAAAAUGUUGGAAUCACUGUGUUCUGGGCUGUUUUCACCUGUAUUAGUGUGUUAUUGUUGAGUGGUUGUUGUUUGAUUCCUUGUGUGAGAGGUUUGAUUAAUAGGAUUCUGGAGAGAUCAAUGACGCAACAGAUGGUGAGAUAUGGACCGAUCCCAAGUUCAGACCAGUGGGACAACAAAUGCAUGCAGCGGAGUCUGGUGGAGGAUUCAUUCAAUUACAAGGAGCCAACGUUUGAUGAAACAAUCUUCCAUGUUUAGAUUGAUUGUUCCUUUCAUGAAUAUUAUGAUAAAAAUCCUAACCGGAAGAGUUAUAAUUGGAUGUAGGCCUAGGACAAUCAUUGAUGAGUAUCGAAUGUAAAUACAUGUAUUGUUUUUGUUUAUUCUGAGGUAGACAUUUAGGAUCCCAUAUAAGCGUUUGGUGUAUCAGUGUGUAUUAUUUAGUAAUUAAGGGUGGAUUGUUAAGGGAUUUAUAUGUUUGAAUGUAGUGAUUAAAUAAUUCUACCCUGAGACUUAACUAUUAGGGAUAUGGUCUAUAUAGCAUGUAGAAUGAGUAACUAAAGGGUUAAACAUAAGUAUAACGAGGUUGGACUAGGAUAAGAGAAGAAUUUGUGUCUGUGUGUUUAAGUAAACAUCAAGAACUGUUAAACUGUGGUUGACCUGCCCUAGCUUGAACUCUGAGGGUUUAAGAUAUGAGAGGGAGUCCCCCUCAAGGUUUUCCUAAUCUCAGAGGAAUGAAACUGUCGGCUGGGUAAUGAUCUACAGUUUUAACUUCCCUUUGACAAAAUACAUAACAAUUAUUUUAAGAAUUAUAGAUACAGAACUCCUUUAUGCAAUCGCGGUGUCAGAUUUUAAAAUAGCUUUUCGUCGAAAGCACAUUUUGCAAUAUUCUGAGUACAUAGCCCGGCCAUCACGGCUAGCUAAUUUGACACCCAUGAAGUUUGGCCCUCACCAAACUCAGAUUUACUAUAAGAAAAAUUGGAUUACCUUUGCUGUUCUUCAUCAGAAUGCACUCCCAGGACUUCUACUUCAACAACAAAUGUUGUUUUGGUUCCAAAUAAUCCAUAGUUAUAUCCAAAUAGCUCCAUUUUGUUCGUGUGUUCAAGUCACUAUCCGAAGGGUGACGCGCGAACGCAUUUCGUGACAAAGAAUUUCAAAAUAUUCCAUUACUGUACUUCGAAGCAUGUCAAACGCUGUUUAAAAUUCAUUUUUAUGCUAUUUUUCUCGUAAAAUAGCGAUAAUAUUCCAACCGGGCGACGUUGUAUUCAUUCAAAGGCUGAAAGAAAAAAAAUGGAGAAUUCUCAUGAAUGCGCAUCUCCAGUGUCACUGUUCCCAGCCUGACCACUCACAAAAUCUCCUGCUGUUCUUCUCCCAGAGACAGGAGACACAUCAUUCCACUUUCUGGCGCCUUCUGAGAGCCAAUGGAAGCCUUAGAAAAUGUCACGUUACAGCAGAGAUGCUGUAUUUUCGAUAGAGAUGCAACAGAAGGAUAACAAAUUGUCAGACAGGGCACUUCCUGUAUGGAAUCUUCUUAGGUUUUGGCCUGCCAUAUGAGUUCUGUUAUACUCACAGACACCAUUCAAACAGUUUUAGAAACUUUAGAGUGUUUUCCAUCCAAAUCUACUAAUUAUAUGCAUAUUCUCGUUUCUGGGCAAGAGUAGUAACCAGUUUAAAUCGGGUACGUUUUUUAUCCGGCCGUGCAAAUACUGCCCCCUAGCCCCAACAGGUUAAGGGAUCUGGGCCUUAAUGUUAGUGUGUAUGUGUGUGUGUGUAAAUACGGCGCCUGGUAUAUAAUGAUGUUUCUGUACAAUGAACGGCAGAGCGCUCUCCUGAAUAAACACGUCUGAUUCUUGUAAGCCGGGCCUCCGUCUGUGUUAUUCAACCAGAAUCUUACACAUUCUAGGUGGCAGACUGAGUAUUUUAAUUGAAGUUAACAUUGAGAACAUAAUUCUAAUAUCACUUUCCCUUCUCCUUUCAUUUCCUUUCCUCUUGAUUCAUAUUAUUCCACACCAUAUUGGACAUGUGCUGUCUAUACAUUGACUUUAGAUACACAGGAGAUACACAUUGGGAGAAAUUCUAAAUAAUUUUCUGCUGUGCUAUAAUCCUAGUUUGACAGGUAAUCCUGAGAUUUAUUCCUUUGGUGGAUAAUAUAGGUCCGGACACAUUGCUCUAAUGAGUAUCUAUCCACAAUCAAUGUAUGUGGGCUGUAUAGGGAAUAGUGUGUCAUUUGGGAUGCAGACUCCUCUGUUUCAGUAGUACUGGAUUGUCUAACAAUUAGACAGGAUGGUGUAACAAGGACUGGAUGAGAAGAUGUCAGCCCAGCUCUAGUCCUUAGUUCCCAUAUAUACAGGAGUUGAUAUUUCUCACAUUUUGUACACAAUGUGACGUAGAAGUCCGUCACUGGCCGCGGGCAGAAUUUGGAACUUUAACGCACACAGACAUUCAUCACUCAUCCCUGCUCCGUUAUCAGAUAAAUGUGGGUCGACACAAGUUAACUUCUCUAUCUUAGUACAUGCAUUUCACACUUACGUCAGUAACCGGUUAUGGUAAAAAGAAAUAAACAGACAAGUGUUCAUAUUUAAUAUAAGCAAUAUUUAUUAUACUUAGAUGUUAUGGAUGAGCGCGUUGUUUGUUUGUUCUGUUCCUCUCUCUCUCCAUCUCUGUAGUUUACGGGUAUGCUGGAUAAGGACCCGAGCUAAGGGAAUUGGGUUGACUUUGUAGUGCCUGUCCCGAGUGGCUCAUUAAUGUAAAUGGACAUAUUGAAAGACACUGUCAGUAAUGAUGUAAUUUUGUAAAUGUUAUAUUGUGAUAUUGUUUAAUAAAAAACGUGUUGCAAUGUAUAUACUUUAGUAUGUUUAGUUAAAUGGAAAAUGUAGGUUUGAAUAGGUAAUUGCUUAAUUAAUUAGUGUUAAUUGUUCUGAGGGGAGGGGCUACCCCUACAAAAGGAGCCUCUCUUUCAGUUCAUGGAGAGGCAUUUUGGAUUGAGCUGUGGAUGGGGCAGCAUUGUUUUUAGCUGUCCCAUAAGGUAUACGUUUGAUGGCAGUACUGUUGUUUUUGUUCCAGAAUCACUAUGUAAAUAAACACCCUUGCACAGAAGAACUUUUGCGGCUCCGCAAUCUUUUUAUUUUGAUAGAGGUUAGGUUUUCCAGUUUAGCCUUCUGGCCUACUCUACGUGACACACACAUUUGUUUACAUCCCUGUUAGUGAGCAUUUCUCCUUUGCCAAGAUAAUCCAUCAACCUGACAGGUGUGGCAUAUCAAG